CUCGCCCUUGGCUAUAAAUAGGGGCAUCAGGUCAUUUAGGGUUCCGCCUCCUAAGACUUCCUCCUAUACCUCGAGCACAUCCAGGAUGGAUCAGUUGCGGAUUAGUUUUGAUUUAACCAAUGAGUAACCUCUGAGUAGGUAGGGGUAUCAAAAGAGUCACAAUGGGACACAACGGAGUAAUAAAAAAGUUUAUUAUCUGAAGCAACCCUACACCAUUUAAUAUAAAGAUGUAAGAAUAUGAAUUUGAAAAGCGAUUGAGCAACAAAAAGGAGGGACUACUCUACUAAUAAAGGGGUGGAAGAAUAACUGUGAGAACAACUGUGGCCGCGUAGAGAAAAAUGAGUAGACCUGUGAAGUUGAUGAUAAGGUUUUCUUGGGUGUGCCCUAACAAAAACCAAGUGUCCAAGCUUUGAAGCAGCCCUAAUUCAGCAGUGCAGGUUGCCAUUAAAAAGACGAAUAGUCCAAAGUAAACGUGCCAUGGCAUUAAGCUGGCUCUCCUCCUUGAUUCUGCUCCGGGGAAGAAGUACGCAAAGAAGCCCACUAACCACUGCGUAUCAACAUCAUAAUAAUUAGCAAAGAAAGAUAUCAAAGUCUGGAAAGAGGGAGAUGGCUGGGACAACGAACCUGUAGACCAUACAAACAAACGGUGAUCAAACCAAACCAAGAGUGCAAAGAAACAAGAUUCGUCAACUGGAUGUCAUGGUGAAACUUGAAACUCAUACAAAUCCCAAAAAUUGCAGCAGCUAAUGCAAUUGCAUGCAACCCCAAAUGCACCACUUUUCUCCAGUAUUUUUUUGCUGGUAUUGACUUGUAUGCCAUUAUAGCUGCGCCAUAUCCCAACCAUAAAUACUAUUAAGAUUUAUUCAUGACUUCAAAUCAUUAGUAA